CCGGUCUUAAACGAUCAGGUCUUCGUUUGUGUUAGGACGAGGUUCUCCUCCUAUUCCUAACAGGACUGUGGGGGCACAUAAGGGCCGUUGCGAGGGCCUCUCCCCCUAUCCGAUCUCUUAAUAAUCGGGUCUUCAACUUUGCUCAUGUUAGGAUGAGAUUCUCCUUCUGUUCCUAACAUGGAUGUGGAGGCGCAUAAGGGCCGUUGNNNN
rnacentral:lncRNA from 1 species